rnacentral:rRNA from 1 species
UGAGGAAUAUUGCGCAAUGGGCGAAAGCCUGACGCAGCGACGCCGCGUGGGGGAUGAAGGCCUUCGGGUUGUAAACCCCUGUCAGGAGGGACGAAGCGGCUUCGUGCCGUGACGGUACCUCGGUAGGAAGCCCCGGCCAACUACGUGCCAGCAGCCGCGGUAAGACGUAGGGGGCGAGCGUUGUCCGGAAUUACUGGGCGUAAAGAGCUCGUAGGCGGCCUGUUAAGUCGGAUGUGAAAGCCCCCGGCUCAACCGGGGAAUUGCAUCCGAUACUGGCAGGCUAGAGUCUGGUAGAGGGAGGUGGAAUUCCCGGUGUAGCGGUGAAUGCGCAGAUAUCGGGAGGAACACCGGUGGCGAAGGCGGCCUCCUGGGCCACGACUGACGCUGAGGAGCGAAAGCUGGGGGAGCGAACA